UACGAAGGGGGCUAGCGUUGCUCGGAAUCACUGGGCGUAAAGCGCACGUAGGCGGACUCUUAAGUCGGUGGUGAAAUCCUGGAGCUCAACUCCAGAACUGCCUUCGAUACUGAGAGUCUCGAGUCCGGGAGAGGUGAGUGGAACUGCGAAGUGUAGAGGUGAAAUUCGUAGAUAUUCGCAAGAACACCAAGUGGCGAAGGCGGCUCACUGGCCCGAUACUGACGCUGA
rnacentral:rRNA from 1 species